rnacentral:rRNA from 1 species
AUGGAGGAGUACAACCGAUACGUGAGGAUCGCAGACGGCGACCCUGUGAAGCUAGCUAGGAUGUUGGAGAUACAGUCUUGGUUUGACAACAAGGACCAACUAGCGGCGACGGCGACAUCCAUGGUCAAAUAUCUGCAACAGAGCGAAAAGGAGGCGAUGCUCUCAGAGGGAGUCGUGUCGGAGUACAUAGAGCUGCUCCUCUGGGCCAUGGAGCAAACAGAUUCACCGAAUCCGAUCGUGAGGGAGCGGUGGUGGGAGUAUCGAUCCCAGAUGGAGCAUCCACCAGAGAUUGAAGGAUCGAGCAUCUACAGGGUGUCGUUUGUGAGGGUGUCCUGCCAGAGCGAGCCGGUGGAGUCUUCGUCGACUGAACCCAACUGCAAGAGGAGAAAAGCAGUUGCCCGACGACGCUUCCCCGCCAUCGUCUCCCUCGCCGUUCACAUCAUCUCACGGGGCGGCUGUCUGCCGCCGAGGAAUAGGAGAGGGCUGCCCCCCAGCCCAAUAGUCGGCAGAUCUCGCCGCCACCCCCGCCUCCUGACUCCGGGUGCGCCUGCCCCCUCAGCAAGUCCGCUCGUGCGCCCCAUGGAGUCGCCGGCCAUAUCCACGGGGGAAUGGCUGGAAGACAGGCAGAUGUACAAGAUGCAUCUCCCACAUGUCUACAAAGCCUUCCUGCGGAUGCUCCAGCCACUCGACUCCGUCGCGCCGCCGGUGCUGCGGGAGACUCGAGGGAGGAGAUGGAGGGAGCGGGCGAUAUGGAUCCGCGACGACGCUCUCUCCUGGACCCAGUGCACGCGCGAAUGGAGGGAAGCAGAGGAGGAAGCUGCGAGGGAGGAAGAUGCGAGGGAGGACGCCGAGGAGGGACCGAAUCCGUUCUCUCACUCGCGCAGGUAUGCUCGGAUGUGCAAGGAUCAUGUGGAUUGGGAGCUGCUGAAUCUAGCCCUGUGGAUCUACUUCAAAGGAGAUUUCUCGGAGAAGCACAGGAUGCCCCACCCCAGUGAGCCGCCGAUUGCGUUCGUUCGAUGGGAGAAAGGAGAACACGCAACCGGAGCCGGAGCAGGUGGAUCCCCUGCCUUACCUCUCCCCCAAACCUGCAGAAGAUUGAAAUUAGGCUUGCAAUCUGCUUCAAUUGAGCUGUCUGGUGGUUAUUUCUGCUUCCUGAGAGACAACAUAUGGCUAGAGGAUGAGAAGGAACCAGGAACUCCGAUGAAUUUCCCCUAUCACAAUGGGGGGAACGCCGGUUGGGCAGUGGUACGGCCCACCUCCGCCCCAAAUGGGGGCACAAUCUGGGCAGGCUCCUGUAAUUGCCCAAGAUCAAUCUGCUGUUGUAGAGCUCUGCCCAGAUGCGGUAGUGACCACACUCCUUUGCUCUGGGACUCUGGUCUUAACCAAACUCCAAAGAGCAAUAGUUUUAAAUUUGAAAAGUGGUGGUUGCUUAGAGAAGAUUUUACUGAGCUAGUCAGGAAAAUCUGGAAUGAGCCUACUGGGAGCAGCUGCCCCCUAGAAAAUUGGCAGAUCAAAAUCAGGAGAUGUAGAAGAACUAUCAAAGGGUGGAACUCCAAUGAGGAAGCUAAUCUUAGAAGAUACAAAAGACUUCUCCUCCUUGAGUUUGAUUCUCUAGAUAUUAAGGCAGAAACCACUGACCUCUCUGAGGCUGAGACUAAUAGAUUAAACUUUGUCCAUGGAGAGCUCAAGAAAAUUUGGCUUCAAGAAGAAAUCAAAGCCAAACAAAGACUGCUCCUCCCCUGCCUCGGGUCAUGGUGCGACGACCACGCCGGCAGGACUCCCCUCCGUCGCCGGAAGCACUCCCGCGCGCUAGUGGAGACCAACCUCCGGAGACUCCGAUGCUGCACCUCCGGUGACUACCGUCCAGGACGACCCGCUUCCUCCUGUGAGCUCCCGAGGCACCAGCCUCCCAUCUGCGAGAUCCGGCGACGCUAG